CAUGAGCCCCAUGUACAGCUCGAGCCCAAAGUGUGAGGCAAGACUUUGGAGGAGGGACGACCAGCAGCAGUUUCUGGGACCCCUGAUGCUCUUUAGGCCGAGGGGCCUGCACUGGAAUGGAGUCCACUGAAGGGGUGGUUGUUUUUCACCUCAGGGGAAUCAGAGUGUGCAAUGUGGGAAAGUGUGUGGCAGAGUACAUGGUGCUGAACUAGGGUGUGUGUGGUAACAUUUUAUUAAGCAUAGAUCUGUAUCUGAUGUAUUUCUGUACUGCUAAUUUGGAGAUUUUACUUGAAAUGAUAAUAGCAUCAUGACUUAAUUGCAUUUUUUUUCUUUNUUUUUUUUUUUUUUUUUUUUUUUUUUUGCUUUUUAGGGCUAUACUCAUGGCAUAUGGAAGUUCCCAGGCUAGGGGUCAAAUUAGAGCUGUAGCCACUGGCCUACACCAGAGCCACAGCAACACAGGAUCUGAGCCGCUUCUGCAACCUACACCACAGGUCAUGGCAACGCUGAUCCUUAACCCACUGAGCAAGGCCAGGGUUCGAACCCCCAACAUCAUGGUUCUUAGUCAGAUUCGUUAACCACUGAACCACGAUGGGAACUCCUUGGCUUAAGGGAAGUUUAAUACAUCCAGGCUUCUGCUGGAGGCCCCAUAGCUCCUUCUUUUUCCUUUGAAACCAAAGUCUUAUAUGAAUUAUUUUCCUAUUUACUCUAAGCAGGGUUCUCCAACCUUGGCACUAUUGACAUUUUGGGGUGGAUAAUCUUUGUUGUGGAGGCUGUCCUGUGUGUCGUAGGAUGUUUAUCAUUUUUCUUGGCUACUAGGAUACCAGGAGCAACCUCCAGUUCUGACAACCAAAAAUGUCUCCAUGCACAGGCCUUUCAGUUCACACUUCGCAUUUAACUGAGAGCUGCCACCCACCAGAGAGGGAACCAGGGUCAUUCAGACAGAGAAGGUUUCUGUUCUCACAGAGUCUACACAGGGGUUGGGGAGAAGGUGGGGGAGGGGUAGAGGGAAGGUGGAAAUGAACACAGUAAAGAUAUCAGCCACCUAACCUAUCAGGUUUGAUGAGCAUGAUUCUUCUGUAGAUUAGCCCUCAUGGAGAUUCAGACACUAAUGCGACUUGUGGAGAGAAUUUAGCUUACAUGUUCUGUGAGCAUUUAGAAAACUGAAUGACAAACAAAAUGAACCGUAAGUCCCCUCCCCAUCCUUUUACAGAAGACAUAGUUAUUUAAUGAUCUCACAACCUGAUCAGAGAUGCUCUUAUGCAUCUUGAAUACAAAACUCAGGUGGGAGUCUCUUGAAUUCUUGAAGAAACAAAGCUCAAAUAUAUGAGAAUAUAAAUCACAAAAAUCUUGAAACAUUUCCUGUAAUAGUUUAUUUGUAAACCAAGUAAGCCUGUCUGUCUCUAAUUCUUCCCCUCCCUUUCUCUCUAAACCAGUCUAUCUUUUCACCUGGCUGCUCCACUGGAACCUUNGUUCCCAGGCCAGGGGUUGAAUUGGAGUUGUAGCCUCCAGCCUGCACCACAGCCACAGCAACGCCAGAUCUGAGCCACAUCUGCAACCUACACCACAGCUCACGGCAAUGCCAGAUCCUUACCUGCUGAGCAAGGCCAGAGAUCAGACUCCCGUCCUCAUAGAUACUAGUUGGCCGUCCUCAUAGAUACUAGUCAGAUUCUUAACUUGCUGAGCCACAAUGGGAAAUCCCCUAAGAGUUUUUAAGAUGGGCAUACACAUUCCCUGGUGGUUCAGCGUCUUAAGUACCCAGUAUUGCCAAAGCCUCAUGUAUUUAACUAUAUAAAAACUAACAUUUCCCCUUGGGAAAGACUCUUUUAACAUGAACAAGACAAGAUUAUAGGACAAAAAAA
rnacentral:lncRNA from 1 species